CGUUUAGAGGGGGGAGACUCUGGCUGUUGGUGUCGGACGGCUCGGUGGGGUUGCGUGAAGCAGAGGAAGUGGUUGAGGUGUGUGUAGGAUGGCGUUCAGAUGGUUCAGACGGGUUAUCAGCAUUAGAGGGUGAUGAUGUUGAGGUGUGUGUAGGUUGGGGUUCAGACGGGUUAUCAGCGUCAGAGGGCGAUGAUGCUGAGGUGUGUGUAGGUUCAGACGGGUUAUCAGCGUCAGAGGGUGAUGAUGUAGAGGUGUGUGUAGGUUGGGGUUCAGACGGGUUAUCAGUGUUAGAGGGUGAAGAUGUUGAGGUGUGUGUAGGUUGGGGUUCAGACGGGUUAUCAGUGUUAGAGGGUGAAGAUGUUGAGGUGUGUGUAGGUUGGGGUUCAGACGGGUUAUCAGUGUUAGAGGGUGAAGAUGUUGAGGUGUGUGUAGGUUGGGGUUCAGACGGGUUAUCAGUGUUAGAGGGUGAAGAUGUUGAGGUGUGUGUAGGUUGGGGUUCAGACGGGUUAUCAGUGUUAGAGG